UCAGUUCAUGAUUGUUUCGACCUACAUAGGAGAUUAAUGACCAUUAACACCUGCUUGAAUGAAUCAUUGAUUAAUCAUACACCUGAUGCUGAUGCUACAAAAUCCCAGACUUUGUGCAAGUAUAUAAAGGAUUCUAACUUCUGAGUUUUAACUGCUGCAUUAUGGUAUGGAUUAUCCACUGAGUGUAAACGCAAAUCUCUGCAAAUUGUGAUCAAGAAGGAGAUACAGGAACAUCUGCACCACAACCAGCAGAUCCCUUUCAGGAACUCGAGCUGCAUCAACAACAGUACCCUGCCCCCCUUGCGAGGAAGUCGCUGGGUAGAACUCAUCGGUGACACGUUUUCUCCACAGUUCCAUCGCACUGGACAUAUACGUCCACAGAACAAGUCUGUGGAGAAUGUCGGAGUAACUGUUCAUCUGCUAUUGC